rnacentral:rRNA from 1 species
GAACUCUAACAUGUGUGCGAGUGUUUUGAAAGGGAAACGAUUGAAGUCAGUCGUACCGGCGGGUAAUCAGCCUUUCGGGUAUGAUUCUGUGGAGUGUGGGGAGCUAAACACCCUCAUGCCUGCAUAUUCGUGCUCUUGGGUGUACUUGCUCGUGUGGUUGGUUAACAUCAAUUUCGGAUGCCAUAAAAUGACUGGAGGAAUGUAGCUUCGAUC